rnacentral:ncRNA from 1 species
AGAGUAGUGAAGGCGCGUUAAGUGUUGCAAAACGGGAUGUUGUUUGCAAACGAAAGGUAGAACCUGCGGUGUCUUCGCGCAUCCGCUA